GAUGAACGCUGGCGGCGUGCCUAAUACAUGCAAGUCGAACGGACUUACAAGCAAUUGUGAGUUAGUGGCGAACGGGUGAGUAUCGCGUUGGUGACCUGCCCCAAAGCGGGGGACAACAGUUCGAAAGAAUUGCUAAUACCCCAUGUGUCCUUUUAUGGUUAGAGGUAGAAGGGUAAAGGAGAAAUCCACUUUGGGAGGGGCCUGCGUCCCAUCAGCUAGUUGGUAAGGUAACGGCUUACCAAGGCUAAGACGGGUAGGGGACCUGAGAGGGUGGCCCCCCACAAUGGAACUGAAACACGGUCCAUACACCUACGGGUGGCAGCAGUAGGGAAUAUUGCACCAUGGGCGAAAGCCUGAUGCAGCAACGCCGCGUGAGCGAUGAAGGCCUUCGGGUCGUAAAGCUCUUUUCAAGGGGAAGAGGAAGGACG
rnacentral:rRNA from 1 species